rnacentral:rRNA from 1 species
CAGCCGCCGCGGUAAUACGUAGGGUGCAAGCGUUAAUCGGAAUUACUGGGCGUAAAGCGUGCGCAGGCGGUUAUAUAAGACAGAUGUGAAAUCCCCGGGCUCAACCUGGGAACUGCAUUUGUGACUGUAUAGCUAGAGUACGGCAGAGGGGGAUGGAAUUCCGCGUGUAGCAGUGAAAUGCGUAGAUAUGCGGAGGAACACCGAUGGCGAAGGCAAUCCCCUGGGCCGGUACUGACGCUCAUGCACGAAAGCGUGGGGAGCAAACAGGAUUAGAUACCCGAGUAGUCCCUGUCUCUUAUAC